AUGGGGGAACCCGCCGGCCGUCAUGGGCCGGCACCGCGUUCGCGCGGGGGGUACGCAGGGAAGUGAAACAUCUCAGUACCUGCAGGAAAGGAUGUUCCGUGAGUAGUGGCGAGCGAAAGCGGAUCAGGCCAAACCGCGCGCGUGUGACAGGCGCCAGCCGUUGCGCGCGUGGUGUUGAGGGAGCGUGUGUCCGGGUCCUGGCGGGCCCGGCCGGAGUGAUAAAACGGCGUGUGAGGCGAACCGGAUUGAAUGCCGGGCCGCAGAGGGUGAUGGCCCCGUAGCCGAACGCGCGUCGUCUCCGGAUCGUGUCUCCCAAGUAGCGCGGGACUCGUGGAAUCCCGUGUGAAUCCGCCCCGACCGUGGGGUAAGCCUAGAUAUACCUGUCUGACCGAUAGCGAACUAGUACCGUGAGGGAAAGGUGAAAAGCACCCCGGGAGGGGAGUGAAACAGUCUCUGAAACCGUGCGCUUACAAACCGUCGGAGCCUUUCGGGGUGACGGCGUGCCUAUCGAAAAAUGAGUCUGCGAGUCAGUGGCGGGUGGCGAGCAUAAGCCGUGUGGCGUAUGCGUAGCGAAAGCGAGUCUUAAAAGGCGUUUUUAGUCGCUUGUCCUGGACCCGAAGCGGGAUGAUCUAGCCCUGGGCAGGUUGAAGCGCGGGUAAGACCGCGUGGAGGACCGAACCCACCUGGGUUGAAAACCGGGGGGAUGACUUGGGGUUAGGGGUGAAAGGCCAAUCAAAUUCCGUGAUAGCUGGUUCUCUCCGAAAUGCAUUUAGGUGCAGCGUCGGUCGAUUGCGUCGCGGGGGUAGAGCUACCGGAUGCUUGCGGGCCCUUGUUGGGUACCAACAGCAGCCGAACUCCGAAUACCGUUGACGUGUAUUCCGGCAGUGAGUCGGCGGGGGAUAAGCUCCGUCGUCGAGAGGGAGACAGCCCAGACCGUCGUCUAAGGUCCCGAAGCGUGUGCUAAGUGGGAAAGGAUGUGGAGUCGCAUAGACAGCCAGGAGGUUGGCUCAGAAGCAGCCACCCUUGAAAGAGUGCGUAACAGCUCACUGGUCUAGUGGUUCCGCGCCGACAAUGUAGCGGGGCUCAAGCACACCACCGAAGACGCGGCAGCAAUCUUCAUGGUUGCUGGGUAGGAGAGCGUCCUGCGAGGGGCGAAGCGGCGGUGGAAACCGGCCGUGGACUUCGUGGGAGUGAGAAUGCAGACAUGAGUAGCGAGAGACGGGUGAGGAUCCCGUCCGCUGGAUGACCAAGGGUUCCGGGGCCACGUUCGUCGUCCCCGGGUGAGUCGGGUCCUAAGGCGAGGCCGACAGGCGUAGUCGAAUGGAUGAACGGGUGGAUAUUCCCGUACCGACCAUGGACCGGCAAAACCGAGACGGUGAGUACUAACCUCCGCCUCGUGGUGGUUCCUUCCUUCGGGUUGGUUCCGCCGCGUGGUGUUGGGACCGUAGCCGUAGUAGGUCAGCGCAGGGGUGACACGGAAUGGGAGCCGGCCGCGGAGGUGGUUUUCCGUGGUCAAGCACGCAGCCAGUCAUGUAGGCAAAUCCGCAUGGCGCGCAUGGCGAGGUGCGAUGAUGGGAGCCGUUAUGGCUCGAUAUCCGGUUGUCCAGGCCGUCGAGAAAAGCCUCGGCGUGAGGGCCAUGGCCGCCCGUACCCCAAACCGACACUGGUGGUCAGGUAGAGAAUACCAAGGCGAUCGAGCGAAUCCUGGUCAAGGAACUCGGCAAAUCACUCCCGUGCCUUCGGUAUAAGGGAGACCCGCUGGGGUGAACCGGCUAGCCCGGGGAGCUUUGGUGGGUGGCACAGACCAGGGGGUAGCGACUGUUUACCAAAAACACAGGUGCAUGCGAAGGCGAAAGCCGCUGUAUAUGCACUGACGCCUGCCCGGUGCCGGAAGGUUAAGAGGAGAGCUUAGCGCAAGCGAAGGUUUGAAUUGAAGCCCCGGUAAACGGCGGCCGUAACUAUAACGGUCCUAAGGUAGCGAAAUUCCUUGUCAGGUAAG
rnacentral:rRNA from 1 species